CCAGAGAAAUGCCAUAUGAAACAGGAUGACAAAUUACAAACCCAAACACAACAAAGUUCAUUAAACCAUCACAGAUUUUGACUUAAAUACACUGGAGCCAACCAAUAAACUCCCGCCAAUCACAAGAUAUGGAGUUCUUUGUAUUGCAGAGAUGUCCUACGCUGCUUUGCUUUUCCACAUACACAACAAUAAAAAAGGACACCUAAUA
rnacentral:misc_RNA from 1 species